UCUCCGUAGGUGAACCUGCGGAAGGAUCAUUCAUAAUAAAGUGUUUUAUGGCACUUUUUAAAAAUCCAUAUCCACCUUGUGUGCAAUGUUAGAUCUCGUCAAUCUUGGCGAGAUUUUUAUACAUCAACUCAUUCUUUAACUAAUUUGUCGGAAAAAUAUUAUGAAUACUUAAUUCAAAAUACAACUUUCAACAACGGAUCUCUUGGCUCUC
rnacentral:misc_RNA from 1 species